AUUUGGGUAGCAGAUAAUAGGUUUAGGAGUCCAAUUAGAAUUAGGGUUUGCUUUAAUGUGAAUAAAAGGGGGGCAGCGUGUAACAGAAGUUUUUUAUGCGAAUUAAUGAAAUUUUCUUCUUCUUCAUCAUCUUCCAAUUUCUCUUAAUCUUCUUUUUCUCUUCUUCUUCUUAAUCCCCUAUUCAUCUCUUUCCCUCUAUUCCCCUCUCUCUAUUCUUCCUUCACCUUCUUUAUCAGAAUAUCUCGAUUCUAAACUAAUUAAUCCGAGUUAGGCAGUUACGUGAACCAUCAUUCUCAACGCCGUCCAUCAUCUCAGCGAGAUCUCAUCAUCGACGGGUUGCGCCGAGUCAGGUACGUAACAAUUGGUAUCAGAGCGGUACGAUCUCAAGGCGUUGUGUGGUGAAUUCGCUUCCUAACUCCAAUCAAGUAUUGUCGAGUUUAAUCGCGAGAGGAUUUCUGCGCUGCCAAAUCUGAUACAAGAUCGGAUUGGACAAAAGAAAUCACCACAGUAACAUCCCUGAACUUUUAGACCGCAUUCAAUCAUCCCCGGAUAUUAGCAAGAUUGGGGGCAAACGAGGCAACAAGUUUCGCUUUAACCCAAAAGAAUAUCUGGAUGAGAUAGAGAUGGCUGAGGGGACUAGGUUGAGAGACCUGAGUGAUCAUAUACGUACUCUAGAAGAGCAGUUCCAAAAAUUAGGAGCUGAGCAUCAAGUCGAGAUUGAGGUAAUCAACCAACAGAUUGCCGAAGUCAAGGAGUUCGGACAGAGGCAAUACGAAGCGAUACAGGUCGAGGCAAGUAAAAGGCACGAGGAGCUGCUCAAGCUGUUCGCAGCCCAGCCACCUCCACUCAAGAGCCAGGCACCAGUAAGCCCACUGGAAGGGAAGCCUCCAUAAUGCGGCAACCCUGGGAACAGUAGAACCCCAUUAAUUACCCGAGUAUAUAAAGGCAAAGGGAUCCUGCCAACGCCACCAAGGCAAACAGAGGAGGAAGAGAGUCAGAGCUUACCAUGGGUCAACAAGCAUAAUCAUUAUCAGUUACCUUAUCCGAAGCUGGAUUUCCCCUUCUUUGACGGUGACGACCCUCGAAGUUGGAUCGAGAAUUGCGAGCAAUAUUUUGAACUAUAUCAAAUACCCCAGCAUCAGUGGUUAAGUGUGGCAACCCUACACUUGAUCGGCAAGGCAAGAACAUGGAAACAAGGGUAUUUCAUCAACAAACAACUCGUUUCAUGGGACGAGUUCACUGAGGCAAUAUGUAGAAGAUUUUCGCAAGCGGGCGAGAGGUAUUUAAUUCGAGAAUUCAGUAGCUUGAAGCAUACGGGGACUUGUGAAAAGUACCAAGAAAGGUUCGAGGAGUUGAGGUUCCAACUACUCCAUUACAAUCCUCAUUUAUCGGAAGAAUAUUUUAUUGCUUGCUAUAUUAAUGGACUCAAGGAGGAGUUAGUUCCGUUUCUUGACAUUGCUCACCCGAACACUCUAGAGGAAGCAUAUGAGCAAGCACAGUUACACGAGAAGGCCAUUGCUGUGAUCAACCGGAAGAAUAGAUACAUUCCCAAGACCUAUCCAUCCAACUCGUUGUAUAAGAGUUCGGAAGGAAGCAAGUAGCCGACCCAAAGUCAGAACAAGACUCCGGUAAACCCCUAUCCAAUCAACAAACAAUUAAUUGAACAACGUCGAGCCGCUGGGUUAUGUUUUCGGUGUGGCGACAAAUACCACCCUGGACACGUGUGUUCCAACAAAUCGUUAAACAUCCUACAAGCUGCUGACAAUAUUAUGGAGGUUCAUGAUGAAGAAUGUUUACAAACAGGACAUAGCGAAGGGGCGGCCAAUGGAAGAGAAAGCGAGAAAACUGAAAUCAUACCUGGGGAAGAGGAGCAGCAGGAAAUAGGGGUAUCAGUGCAUGCCUUAAGUGGAGAAAUACCCCAAGACACCAUUAAGAUAAGGGGUGAAACCAACAAUCGGACUCUUACCAUUUUGAUCGACACUGGAAGCACUCACAGUUUCAUCGACCUGCUAGUAGCCCAGGAGGUAGGCGCGCGGAUGGAAGCAGCUCCACCCCUGACUGUGACAGUAGCAAACGGGCACAAGGUUUUGAGCAAAUUACGAUGCCCUGAGUUCACUUGGACUAUGCAGGGACAAACUUUUCGAACCGACUUAAGAGUAAUCAGGAUCGAAGGUUCUAACAUGGUAUUGGGAAUUGAUUGGUUAAAGUCUUAUGGAGUGGUGACUUUCGAUUUUGUAUCCAACUCGGUGGCGAUCAGUAAAGAUGGACAAAAAUUAGAGCUAAAGGGAAUUGCGGAAGGCGCUAGAUUAAGUCUAAUAUCUGCAGCUCAAUGGAGGCAAGAAGCACAGAAAGGAGAAUGUUAUCUCCUCAGGCACCAAUCAACACCAGAAGGUAGUGAACGGGAUGCUGACAUACUCCCGGAGAUCCGAAGGGUGCUGGAUAAAUUUUAGGAUGUGUUCGAGGAGCCAAGGGAGUUACCCCCAAUCCGCAUUCAAGACCAUAAAAUUCCUCUACAGCCUAACACAGCCCCGAUUAACAUUAGGCCCUAUCGGUACUCGCAUGAUCAGAAAGAGGAGAUCGAAAAACAAAUAAAGGAGUUAUUGAGCCACGAGAUUAUUCAGCGGAGCAAUAGUCCUUUCGCCUCACCCGCUUUAUUGGUUAAGAAAAAGGAUGGGAGUUGGAGAAUGUGUAUAGAUUAUCGCCAGCUUAACAAGUGCACGGUGAAGGACAAAUUCCCUAUACCAAUUAUAGAUGACUUGCUUGAUGAAUUGGGUGGAUCGAAGUAUUUUUCCAAGAUAGAUCUCAGGUCGGGCUAUCAUCAGAUCCGGAUGAAUCCGGGGGACAUUCAUAAAACGGCAUUCCGGACGCAUCAAGGGCAUUAUGAGUUUCGAGUCAUGCCGUUCGGCUUAACGAACGCACCCGCGACGUUUCAAGCCGUAAUGAACUAUACCUUUGAGCCAUACUUGAGGAAAUUCAUCCUGGUUUUCUUUGAUGACAUUCUAAUCUACAGCAAAAACCUCGAGGAUCAUGAACAACAUCUGCGUAUCGCUUUGGGAGAAUUGAGGAAGAAUAAAUUUUACGCCAAACGAAGUAAGUGCUAUUUUGGGCAGAACCAGGUCGAGUAUUUAGGUCAUAUAAUAUCUGACGAAGGGGUAGCCACCGAUCCAUCCAAAAUUGAAGCGAUGAUUAAUUGGCCGGUACCAAAAUCUGUGAAGGAAUUGCGUGGGUUCUUAGGACUCACCGGAUAUUAUCGAAAAUUCAUAAAAGGGUAUGGAAAGAUUAGCAAGCCUCUGACUGAGUUGUUGAGAAAGGAUCAGUUUGAUUGGAAGGGAGAAGCACAAGUAGCUUUUGAAGAGUUAAAGUUGGCUAUGACAAAGGCUCCAGUACUCGCUAUGCCUAACUUUGGUGAACCUUUCACGAUAGAAGCAGAUGCUUGUGGCAUGGGGAUAGGGGCAGUACUGUCCCAAGGAGGAAGACCCAUUGCCUAUUUGAGCAAGGCUAUUAGCGGGAAGCGCUUGGGAUUAUCAACUUACGAAAAAGAGUUCUUAGCGAUAUUCAUGGCGGUCCAAAAGUGGAAGCAUUAUUUAGGCACCGGUACAUUUGUGAUUAAAACAGAUCAUGAAAGCCUAAAGCACCUACUCGAGCAAAGGAUAUCCACCCUGAUGCAGCAGAAGGGCAUGCGUAAAAUGAUGGGGCUUAAUUACACGAUCCAAUAUAGGAAAGGUAAAGAAAAUGCGGCUGCCGAUGCACUGUCCAGAAGAGAAGAAGGGGGAGUUGCAUUGGCGAUCUCAGCGGCAGUACCAACAUGGGUACGAGAGGUGGUGGAAAGUUACCAGGGGGAUCCAUAUUGUGAGAAGAUAAUUAAAGAGCUAACCUUGCGGCCAGACACCCCGGGAUAUUACUCCUAUGGCAAUGAGUUGCUACGCUACAAAGGGAGGCUCUAUGUUGGGCAGAAUGGACCUAUCCGGGAGAAGGUUUUAGAUCAAAUGCAUAAUUCUGCCUUGGGAGGCCAUUUCGGAAUCCAGAACACUUAUAGGAGAGUUAAGCAACAUUUUUUUUGGCAAGGAUUAAAAAGGGAUGUGGAAGAUUGGGUCAAGGGGUGCACUGUUUGUGCUCAAAACAAAGUGGAUGGAACACCUUACAGUGGAUUGUUGCAGCCGUUGCCGAUUCCUCACCGAAUUUGGGAGGACGUAAGUAUGGAUUUCAUUGAAUCAUUACCUAGGUCAGAGGGGCGCGAUACAAUAAUGGUUGUAGUUGACCGGCUCACCAAAUAUGCUCAUUUCAUAUCUCUUAAGCAUCCCUUUUCAGCAUCGGAUGUUGCUAAGGCUUUUAUGGGAACCAUUUAUAAACUGCACGGUUGCCCCAAGAGUAUCAUUUCUGAUAGAGACAAGAUAUUCGUGAGUCAGUUUUGGAAGGAGCUUUUCCAAUCCAUGGGAACCAAACUGCACAUGAGUUCGGCGUAUCAUCCGGAAACUGACGGGCAAACGGAGAGGGUCAACCGGUGUUUGGAAACCUAUUUGAGGUGCUUAUGUUUUCAGCAUCCAAAAAAAUGGCAUUCUUGGUUAGCGCUAGCCGAAUGGUGGUAUAAUACCAACUUCCAUUCGUCAUUGGGAAUGACCCCAUAUGAGGCGUUAUAUGGGCAACCUCCGCCAAAUUACCUGGUGGCCGCUGUGGAUACAGCUACCUCGCAGGAGUUUAAAGGGUGGGCUACAGAGAGGGAAAGGCUGACUAGAGAAUUGAGGGAUCGAUUGCAAAUAGCACAGAGCAGGAUGAAGCAACAGGCAGACAAGCAUAGGGUGGAGAAGGAGUACUUAGUGGGAUAUUGGGUUUACCUUAAACUACAACCCUAUCGGCAAACCACGGUGGCGAUAAGGAAAAAUAUUAAGCUUUCGGCACGAUUUUUUGGCCCCUUUAAAAUACUGGAGCAAAUCGGGCCUGUCGCGUACAAGCUACAGUUACCAGAGGGGUCAAGGAUUCACCCAGUGUUUCAUGUCUCCCUGUUGAAGAAGAGUCCCCCAUCUUCCGUUCAGGCAUCUCCGACAGCACCAUCUAUCGGGGAAGAGGAUGAGUUGCGGGUCGAACCAGAGGAAAUACUGGAAAGGCGGACGGUGACGCGCGGAAACAUGGUCGCGAUCGAAGUUUUGGUGAAAUGGGCAAAUCUUCCAAGGGAGCUUGCAACAUGGGAAGAUCGUGGGUUCCUCAAGAGCCAAUAUCCAUCUUUUGAUCCUUGAGGACAAGGAUCGACUUAAGUAGGGGGGAUUGUUACACCUGUCAAGUAGUAAAGAAGGAUUAGGAGUAGUAGUAGGAGGUUUAGCUAGAAUAAGGAGAGGAGAGGAGAGGAGGCUUAGCUUUUCUCUGCUUCAGGUCUCCGGUUGGGGAAGCGUCGGCCGGCAGCUUGGAGCAUGGAGAUCACCGGGGGGGGGUGUGAAGUUGCCGGUGGAGGAGAAAGAUGGGGUGAGAGAAGUGGGGAGCGAAGAAGGCGAUCAGAGCAAUUGACAAGAGACUUGGAGCGUUCGGCGAGGCGACUCAGGUUCCAGAUGGUUCUAGUGGAUUCGGGCGUAUGGCAGAUUCGGGCACAAGGAGGGGAGGUACUGAUCCAAUAUAUCUUCGGAGCGGGCCGGGGAUUAAGCCCAUGUGGGGAUUUGGGUAGCAGAUAAUAGGUUUAGGAGUCCAAUUAGAAUUAGGGUUUGCUUUAAUGUGAAUAAAAGGGGGGCAGCGUGUAACAGAAGUUUUUUAUGCGAAUUAAUGAAAUUUUCUUCUUCUUCAUCAUCUUCCAAUUUUUCUUAAUCUUCUUUUUCUCUUCUUCUUCUUAAUCCCCUAUUCAUCUCUUUCCCUCUAUUCCCCUCUCUCUAUUCUUCCUUCACCUUCUUUAUCAGAAUAUUUCGAUUCUAAACUAAUUAAUCCGAGUCAGGCAGUUACGUGAACCAUCAUUCUCGACGCCGUCCAUCAUCUCAGCGA
rnacentral:lncRNA from 1 species